GAAGCUGACCAGACAGUCGCCGCUUCGUCGUCGUCCUUUCGGGGAGACGGGCGGAGGGGAGGAAAGUCCGGGCUCCAUAGGGCAGGGUGCCAGGUAACGCCUGGGGGGGAAACCUACGACCAGUGCAACAGAGAGCAAACCGCCGAUGGCCCACGCAAGUGGGAUCAGGUAAGGGUGAAAGG
rnacentral:RNase_P_RNA from 1 species